GCCGGCAGGUCGCUCUCUGCAACUCUCACAUGUUCGCCCACUGAAGCUAAGCAGGGCUGUGCCCGGUCAGUACCUGGAUAAGAGAUCACAUGGGAAAACUAGGUUGCUGCCGGAA
rnacentral:rRNA from 1 species